rnacentral:sRNA from 1 species
GCUUUACUGUUUCUGUUUU